rfam:Felis catus isolate Cinnamon breed Abyssinian chromosome C1, whole genome shotgun sequence.
GUCUAGGUGGCUCAGUCAGUUGAGCGUCUGACUCUUGAUUUCAGCUCAGGUCACGAUCCCAGGGUCGUGGGAUCGAGCCCUACUCUGGGCU